CAGCAGCCGCGGGAACACGUAGGGUGCGAGCGUUAAUCGGAAUUACUGGGCGUAAAGCGUGCGCAGGCGGUUUUGUAAGACAGAGGUGAAAUCCCCGGGCUCAACCUGGGAACUGCCUUUGUGACUGCAAGGCUAGAGUACGGCAGAGGGGGAUGGAAUUCCGCGUGUAGCAGUGAAAUGCGUAGAUAUGCGGAGGAACACCGAUGGCGAAGGCAAUCCCCUGGGCCUGUACUGACGCUCAUGCACGAAAGCGUGGGGAGCAAACAGGAUUAGAUACCCGCGUAGUCCCUGUCUCUUAUAC
rnacentral:rRNA from 1 species